UAAAAAUUAAAUCAUAUGAGAACUAAUACGCAAUUGCACCAUUAAACCAUUCUUCUUAAUUUUGAAAGUCAUUUUCCUCGAUGUAUACUUAACUAAGUGUUUUAUUUUCUCCCUCUUAGUAUGUGUAUAUAUAUAGUACGGUGUUGUCAUCUUCAUCGAUCAACUUCAAUAAUAAAUUUUAGUACAUCCUUAGCUAAACCAGUACUAUACCAAAAUUCAAGAGUCAAUUUUUUUGCUUUUUUAAAUAGAAG
rnacentral:sRNA from 1 species